rnacentral:rRNA from 1 species
GGGGACAACCCGCCGAAAGGCGGGCUAAACCCGCGUACAUGCCACCGGGGCAUCCCGGAGGCAGGAAAGGCUUCGGCCGGACAGGGAUGGGCAUGCGGCGCAUUAGGCAGUAGGCGGGGUAACGGCCCACCUAACCGACGAUGCGUAGGGGUUCUGAGAGGAAGGUCCCCCACACUGGUACUGAGACACGGACCAGACUCCUACGGGAGGCAGCAGUGAGGAAUAUUGGUCAAUGGUCGGGAGACUGAACCAGCCAAGCCGCGUGAGGGAUGAAGGUACAGAGUAUCGUAAACCUCUUUUGUCAGGGAACAAAGGCGGGGACGUGUCCCCGGAUGAGUGUACCUGAAGAAAAAGCAUCGGCUAACUCCGUGCCAGCAGCCGCGGUAAUACGGAGGAUGCGAGCGUUAUCCGGAUUUAUUGGGUUUAAAGGGUGCGCAGGCGGUCUGUUAAGUCAGCGGUCAAAGCCCGGGGCUCAACCCCGGCCCGCCGUUGAAACUGGCAGUCUCGAGUUGGAGAGAAGUAUGCGGAAUGCGCGGUGUAGCGGUGAAAUGCAUAGAUAUCGCGCAGAACUCCGAUUGCGAAGGCAGCAUGCCGGCUCCACACUGACGCUGAGGCACGAAAGCGUGGGUAUCGAACAGGAUUAGAUACCCUGGUAGUCCACGCAGUAAACGAUGAA